rnacentral:rRNA from 1 species
AACGAACGCUGGCGGCAGGCUUAACACAUGCAAGUCGAACGCCCCGCAAGGGGAGUGGCAGACGGGUGAGUAACGCGUGGGAAUCUACCCAGAACUUCGGAACAACUGAGGGAAACUUCAGCUAAUACCGGAUACGCCCUACGGGGGAAAGAUUUAUCGGUUCUGGAUGAGCCCGCGUUGGAUUAGCUAGUUGGUGAGGUAAAGGCUCACCAAGGCGACGAUCCAUAGCUGGUCUGAGAGGAUGAUCAGCCACACUGGGACUGAGACACGGCCCAGACUCCUACGGGAGGCAGCAGUGGGGAAUAUUGGACAAUGGGCGAAAGCCUGAUCCAGCCAUGCCGCGUGAGUGAUGAAGGCCUUAGGGUUGUAAAGCUCUUUCAGUAGGGAAGAUAAUGACGGUACCUACAGAAGAA